GUGGCUGCAUGACCAGUCACCCAGCGGGAGCCUGCUGGGGGACUCUGCAGUCAGCACCAGGCGCACCCAGAUGACCUUUCUGCUCUGCCUUGUCUGGGGCCACACCUGGGGGACGCCAUGCCAGAGGCUGGGGUCAUCGGAAGGCUCAGGGUCUCUCUCCUCAGGCAGCUGACGCUCAGUGCCUCGCCGUGCAGGCCUGUCCUUGCAGGUUCUCCGCAGAGGCUGGCUGGGCUUCCUCACAGCAUGGCUGCUGGCUCCCCAGGGCCAGCAGGCCCCCACAGCACACCAGGUAGCAGCUGUGCUGUCCCUUAAGAUCCAUCUUGGAAGUCACGUAAUGUCACUUUUCCCCAGCAACACACACACACACACACACACACACACACAAACACACACGGUUUUUCUUCAGUGAUCAGGGCUGAAUUUUUGUUGUCUGCAGCCAAGAGUCCUGAGCUCCUCCAGUGCUCGACUGAGCCAGGACUGGACUGGACACUCUGUUUGCAGCACUAACUGAGGCAUGGAAGCCACCGUCCUCCUCUGCCCCUGGCUGGCGAGAGCACCUGGGCCAGCAGCACCCCGGGUGAGCUCUGCCCUGCCCUGGAAGGCCAGGUCAAGGUCAGUUUUUUGUUUGGUUUAAUUUUAAGUAGCCAAAACACUUCCUUCCCACCACGAGGGCAGCAUCCAUUUUGCAGCAUCUGGGAAGUGGCCGGGAUCCAGGGAAGGGCCGGGGAGGGGACCAGCCCUCAGGACUGAAACGUUCCUGGCUGGGUCCGGGACGCAGCACAGCCGCGUGGCCAGGCGCGGUGUCAUGCCAGGCUCUGACACGCCGGGCGGGCACCGUUUCAAUAACCCCGCGAGGGAGGCUCCGUCCCCUAGAACAAAGGAGGAAGCCAUGGCUUUCCGGGUCCUCCGGGAAGUCAGGACGCGGACGUGUGGCUUCUGGCUGCAGAAUCUGAAUUCUUUCAGGCCCAGCUGGAGCCUGGAAGGGCGAUCCUCCAGGCGGAGCCCACAGCCCGGGGCUGUGUGGGGCUGGAUUCCUGGGGCCCAGGGGCAGGGAGCCACUUGGCCUCCGUUGGGCCGAGGUUCGGCUGCUGGUGGAUGGCUGCCGCCCGACUGCCUGCCAGCCUCUCCCUGGCCUGGCUGGGAGACGCGGUGACUCACACUCCCCACUCUGCUGAGCACCCUCCCUGUGCCUGGGGCGCAGGCUGCCGGAGCCCUGUGUAACCAAAGUCAGCAGCGCAUGGCCCGAGGGCAGGAUCUGGAAAGGAGAGUGAGACGCUCCAGUUGUGAGGACCUGGUCCCUUUGCACAGAGGACCCUGGUGGCCUGAGCCUGUCCAGAGCACCCCACAACCAGAGGUCUGAGUGCCUCCGUGAGGGGGAGACACUGGUCCCAGACACCCCCCCCAGGCUGGCGUUAGCUCUUGCCCCACCCCUGUCCCCUGCAGCCCUCCCAGGGUCUGGCGGUCACCUUUCUAUCCUGUGAGCCCUCAAAUCUGUUCAGCCAGCCCCGCCUCUGCCCCGUCAUGGUCACCAGAGCCUUCGCUCUUGUUGGCCACUCCAAAGCCCUAGCUGCGCAGUGGCUGAGGCCUGCGCUGUGACGCCCCACCCCUGUCUGCUGCCACUUCACGGCGGCCUUCCAAGGCGGGCAGUGUCGCUAGCCGUCCAGCCUGCUGUGGAAGGGUUCGCCCCGUCGUGGUGGCCGGAGCCACCCCUGAGCCAGCACCAGCCCCUGGCAGGGACCCAGCACGGGAAGCGGUGCUCAGGGUCACACUGUGCCGCUGGAGGAGGAGCUGGGGGUGUGUGUGGCCACGGUGUCAGAGCUGCCGGGGUGCCAGGCAGGAUGCAGGGCGGUGGGCGUGACAGCGCCCGCCCUCGCCUCCCUGCCAGAGUGGCAGGCAGCCCCUUCUUUUUGCUGCAGCCAUGUCGCCUGUCCUCCCCUCAGGAGUGCUGACCUGCAGGGCCCACCACCUGCAGCCGCCUGAAAUGCAGGGGAAAGGACGAGGCACCCUCUUGUGCCUCCGCGGAGCACGGGAUUUGUGGGAAAUCUGUCCCUGGCGCUAGGAAGGCCUCUCCCGGUGCCUUCUGCUCCGUGUCGGAGGGGACAGCCGGCUAAAGCUUCCACUCUGCAGCCCUGCUCAGCGGGCCUCGGUGCUGGACAUCAUGAUGCCCGCGGGGCCUCCCUCCCCUCCCCAGACUGAGCUGAGAAGGCACCCUCCCUGGACCGCAGGUUCAGCCUGAAACCAGAAGGAGGGAGGCUGGCCGUGGUCUUGACCAAGGCCCCCCGUCCCUCCUGCGACUGAGUCCAGGAUCCCAGCGACCGUGCUUCCUGCCAGGCCAAGCGGGCAGCGGUCAGUGGUGAAGAACUGGGAGGAGCCGAAGAGUCCCAGCUCCAGACCUCAGGGUGACGGUGGCACUGGGCAGCCCAGGUGGCCUCUGCAGACAUCUCCAGGGACCUACCCCUGGUCCCCUAGGCUGGUACCUGGGACCGUGCAGCCCUGGUUCAGGGGAAGGAGACCAGAUGCCUCUUUCGACAUUGGUUCUAAAACACGUUCCUGUUUCAGAAACACUGGAAAAUUAUACACCGUGGCCAAGUGUGGGGCUCAGAGGGGACGUUCUGGACGCAGGUUUCAGCUGGAGGGAAGUGGGCUAAGAGAAAAGGCGCCACUCUCCCCAGAAGGGGCCCAGGGCGGGUGCUCGGGCACAGGGAGGGACAGCCAGGAACCCCGGGAAGGCCACAGUGCGGGCACGGGUCCUGGGGUUCUGAGCACCUCGGGUUUUCUUCUUGGUGUUGUUCUGCUUCUGAUUUCCUGAGGUUGUACCCGGACAACUAACAAACAGGAGCUGCCAGCAUCUUCCCACAUCGGCACUUCACACUUUGAGCCUCCCAAGAGCCUACUGGGACAGGAAUGCUGGGGAUCGCUAUUUGCAGAUUAGAAGUCUGAGGCUCAGAGAGAUGGACCAAUUUUCCCAGGGCCACACAGCUAUCUCUGGUGCAGCUGGGAUCAAACCCUUCAUUCUGACCCCAGAACAGAGGUCCCAGCCGCCCCGUGACAGUCGACACCCGAGGGGCUGAUUUUUAAGACCACAGGUGAGUUUAACUCAAAGGAGCAAGAGAGCAACCAAGGGAGGCGCUGCUGUUGGUUGUGUUGACCACAGCGCCUGCCCCAGCCCUCACCCCACCCCAGAGACCUAGGGCUGGAGGCAGGACCUCCGGGGAGUCCCGAAGAAGCACCGUGUCUCGUGACCUGAGCACCAUGACGGGGCUGGGAAGGCCAGUGGGGAGUGCUGGGCCACCAGCCCUGCCCCCAGGUGUGCCAGGGUGGUGCUCGGCCCCCGGAGGCCUGGGAGGAGCGCCAAGGCCAGGCACCUGGUGCUGCGCGGGGCUGGGUGCCUGGCCUUGGGGCUGGGUCUUGUUUUGUCAGCGUCCUCGGAGGUCACCCUGCAGCAUGCCUCUCGGCUGGGAAGCCACGGGAGCUGGGAGCCCCCCACACACAGGGAGGGCAGGGCCACCUCCUGGGGCCGAGCUGACCCUCUCUCUCCAGGAGACCCCAAGAAACCACCCCAAAUAAACCAAGAGGCUGCUGGGACACUGAAGCGGGAGCUCAGGGCAGCCCGGGCCCCGGGGAGGAGUCAUGGUCCGGGGCACAGCUACCCCAGCAGACUCCUCGAGGCCGGGUACUGCACACCCCACCUGUGCAUCGGCAGGACUGUCCCCAAGGCACAUAUCGGGGAGGCUGAGGCUCGGAAGCGGGUGUCUCGGCCCAGGCAAGAACCCUGUCCAAGAUGGGGUCACACCGUGGCUCCUGUGAACUCCCAAGCCUCGGAGGAACCCUUCAGGAUCUGAUAAAAGUACAGACUUCCCUGUAAAGACAUGGUCCCUGGCAUUUAUGGGUGGAACGUACGGAAACUCAGGGAGUCCCUGUCACCAGACGCUCAGAAGAGCCCCUGCCUGGGGCUGUCCAGUCCUCGGGACCAACACUCCCCACAGGGUUGGGAGGCCCGGCUGCGCCCACGGCCUGGCUGCUGGAAGCUCCUUCGCCAACUCAACCGUGCAGGACCCGUGCUCUGGGGAGGAUGGAACCCUUCUGGUUCUAGUGCACCUGCCAGCAGCCCCCUCCUGUUACAGAGGCGGUCCCCCAUCUCUGCACCGUGGCAGUCCCUUCCUGCACUCCUCGAUGGCGGGAAACACUGAGCACCCAGCACGUGCAGUGCUCCUGCCUGUAAUUUCAACCUCACGAUGGUGCGGAAGACACCAUUCUAUUCUGAAUUUCCUUUCCCUGGGCCAGGCUGUCUUUUGUCCCCGGGCAGCAGCAGGGAGCCCAGCCUGCCUCAGCUCUGUCACCUGGAGGCUGACAGCCUGUCCACACUCUCUGGUGGACAGUGGUGCUCAUUAAAUGCACUUUCUGCUUAGGGUGCCUUCCACGUGGGAUGGGUUUGCCCGUGUGCCCAGCGUGUCUGUGUUGCCAUCAGACACUGGCUUCCCCCCCAGCUAGCAGCCCCCCCCCAGCUAGCAGCCGUGGAUCCUCAGGCUGCCUCUCCAGAACGUUUUGAUCAUGGACCCUCAGAAACUUCCGGAGGACUGCAGGUGAAAUGCCGCGAUUUCAUUCUCCUUAUGGCUGAGGACACGCCACUGUGUAUGACCCCGUUCUCUCUGUCCACUCACCCAGUGAGGACACCUCGGCUGGGGCCGCAGCUCGGCUACUGCCCUCUGUGCUGCUGGGACCCAGGACUUGCUGGGUGACUGGUGAGCAGUGGCCAUCCACAGCACAGCCAAGCCUGGGGCAACAGGGCUCCCUGCUGCCCUUUGAGUCCCUGGGCACCGGCUAGUGCCCCGUGUUAAGUCCUCUCUGCCAAGUCGGCCACUGUGUUUUCUGGUUCCUGCCUGGACUGUCCAUGUAGAGAGAGCCAGCGUCCACCCAGAGGCAGGGCAGGCUUGCUCUGAGCCCACUGUUGCAGGCGGAAGGUGUCCCCGGAGAUGUCCCCGUCCUACUUCGCAGAAUCUGUGGACGUGACCCUCACUUGGUAAAGGGGACACGGCUGGUGUAAUCAAAUUAAGGAUCUUCAGGUGAGGGGACUGUCCUGGCUGUCUAGGCCUGCCCGAUCAAAGCACAGGAGUCCUUAAAAGAGGGACACAGUCCAGUGGAGGCAGGGCUGAGCAUGUGCAUCGGACGCUGGGUGGACUCUGGCUCUCUGAACAUGACAGUCCAGGCAGGAACCAGAAAACACACUGGACCCAGGAGCCAGGAGCCAGGAGUGCAGGUGGAAACACAGGACCCAGCCUGUCCUCCCCUCCGGAGCUCCAGGGAGAGCUGCCCUGCCCACACCUUGGUUUUCAGUUCGUGGAAAUCACUCGGGACCCUUGACCUCCAAGAGGUAGAGAGUUUGUGCUGUUUAAACCACGAAGGCUUACGCAUUUGUUAUGGUGACAGUAAGGACCCGUACACCCAGCCGGGGGACACGUAAGUCCCUCCGACUUUCAUUUCCAGUCCUGGACAAGUGGGAGCGCUCAGAGGACUUCAGAGCCGCUCCCGUGGGGAUCACAAGUCGCGCUGCAGAGGACACGCAGGCGCCAGGCUGUGGGAGAGCCAGGUCACCACUCCAGGCCGACGCAGGCCACACGCCAAGGCGUGAGAAGUGGGCAGAGAUGGCCAAACCCAAGAGCUUCACCAAGGAGCCUGGACUUGGCCCCGUUGUCCUGGCCCAAGUCCAGGGGUAAUGACAGUGGAGUCCCCCUCUCUGGAGCCAGCUGUGCGUCAGGUGCUCCGAGUACCUCCUGGUCCUCGAGGUGCCCAGCCGUGUGGUCCCAUUCCACAGAACAGGGCGAGCCAGGCAGGAGAGCACCAGUGGCACCCGGUCUCACAGACGGGGGACGCGGACACAGGUCUCCAGGGCCCUGGGCUUUCCUCGCUGCCCCUUACUCACGGCCUCAAGCCCCUGCUGGAGAGGGACAGCGUGUUCUGGCACACCCUCCUCAGACCCAGGCUGGGCGGUGCCAAGGCCAUGGUGAGAGGACAGUGCUGCCCCUGGCGACGCGCCUGGUCCUUGGGUGUCCUUGUCCUGGGCCAGCUGUGGUCAGUUUGCAGCCUGCCCCAAACUUCCUCCGAUGAUGCUGGGCCAUGCUGGCUCCUCGCUCCCUCGGCCUCACACCGCGGAUGAAGGGGAGAGGCGCCAGGAGAGGCUGCCCGACCCGCUACCCACUGGCCACCUUUCAUCUGCUGGGCGUGGCGGGCAGACCACGGUGCUGGAACAAGCUGGAGGCCCUGGGCCACUGUCGGCCCUGCCUGGAAGGAGUGAUGGGGCCCUCAGCACCGCAUGGCAAGUGGCCAUAGAGCAGCACCCCUGCGGGGCUGGUGGCAGGGAGGGGUGACCUGUGUGUCAGCCCUGCCCUGUCUGCUGCGGGGGGACCCAGAGGACAGGGAUUUGGGGUCAGAAACCUGACACUGUCGCUUCCCUCAUGCCACAGUGCCCUCGCUUGUGGGCAGGACCUCGGCCUGUGGGCACCCAGCCCCUUGCACAGCCACAGCCUUCAGGAGAGGCUGGCUCAGGUAGCCUGAGGGGUCAGGGGUGGUCCAACGGCCCUGCUCCUCUAGUCCGUGGUGGGCUUAAGCAUACCCAGGUGACAUAAUCCAGCCAGUGACACAUGAGGGCUUCUGAAGAGGGGGCUCGGGGAGAGUCGCCUCUCAAAAUUGAUGCCCAAGAGAGACAGGCUUUCCGCUGCUGCUGGAAGUUGGGUGAGACCUGGAAGACCCUGGUCACUUGAGAGCACGAGGAGGCCGGCAGGGCUGAGGCGGCACCCCGAGGAGGCAGCACAGCAGGACGGGCAGAGCGCGCUCUGCGGCGGCGUCCUGGAUGAGCUCCGACUCAGGACCUCCUGGGAACGGGUUCCUUGUCGUCUGGUCUGAGCCUUGGAGUUGGACUACCUGCCAUGUGGCCAGAAGCAUCCUCUAAGUCCUAGACGCCCACCAAACUGCUGGGGCUCCGGGGUUCCCCUUUGAGAAGCAAGCACAGCAAACCAUGGCGUCUCCGGUGACCUUGGUGCGCACACUGCAUGCUCUGCCUGGGGGCCUGAGCUCUGUGCAGGGGCACGAUGUCCUGCAGGUCUCGGCCACAGCCCGGUCAGCCUUAUGAGCACUCUGCAGCUGACCCAGGUGAGCAUGACCCUGCUCUGUCAGUCACCCAUGCUGCAAAGCACUGGACUGAAGACUCUGAGCCUCACGCCUGUGCAGGUGGGCUACAGGUCAGGCGAGCCCGUCUGGAGGCCCGACUCCUCCAGCUGAGACCUGCCAGACGUCCUGUUCAGGCUGGGCUCUGCUGGGACGGCUCUGCUCUGCAUGUCUCCUCCUCCUCUUGGGGCCAGUGGAGAGCGGGGCAGGUUCCCUGAGGUGAUGGCCGAGGCACAGAGCUCUAGGAUGGCACAGACCAUCAGCUCCGGCCCACUCUCUUUCCUCUUCCUUGCAGCCGUGGAUGGCCACUGAUUAGUGUUGGCAAAUUAGAUCACAGUGGGAAUCUGUAGAGGGCUCAGGGGGAAGGAAAGAAUUUGCCUUUCCUUGUAUGAGGAGCAACCACUAGUAUUAUUCCAUUCUCCCCUAUUCCUACACUGAAUGCACAGUGUGAUGUCUGAAGCUGUAGCCACCAUAUUGCUCCUGUAAGGUAAAGUCAAGAGACUCACGCACAGUUUUCCUGUUGCUGGAGGAGCAACGUGUCUCUGGAUUUCUUGACCUGUGAGGAAAAAUAAACCCUAUAUGUUUAUGUUACUGUUAAUUGCAGCCAAGAACUUUUCUCACUAAAACCCUGAAGCAACUUAUCAGCAUAAUUCUGUAUCUGCCCUAAGUGGAUUAUCAGAAUUGAUGAGAAAGUAAGAUACUGCAUUUCAAUUCAGGUCUCAUGGAUCACUCAAUAUGUGCUGUUCACCUUCCAUGUACUGGUCACCAACAGCCAGCACCCCUGCCCUGCCCUCUGAGAGCCUCUCCUAGCAGAUGCAAGAUGUUACCAGAACGGCAGCACAGAGUAUCUUUGUCAAACACACACUUGAUCCCAAACUGAAACGUUGAGGAUCACAUCAAUGAUUUUCUGCACCAGCAGCCAGUUCCCAGAACAGGCCAAGGAAUGGGCUAGCUGGAUGGCCCUGACAGUCCCUUCUCUUUUUAAAUUUGCUGUUUCAUUUACUAACUAAAGAGUUGACCCUGAUGACUACUAAAUUAUCUUCCAGGUCAAGGCUUCCCUAUCCUGGGAUAAUUGCCAUGGGAUAAGGAAAUAUUAACAACAUUUUGGAAAAACUCCACUUUGCAAGCAUUGGGGUAAAAGCAUAGUUUUACGUGACAAGUCAAAAUCAGGAGAGGAGUGCUGCAGAAGUUAACGGAACACCCUGAUCCUUCUUGCUUGGGGGAAGCGUUGCAGAGUGGGAUUGGCAAUUGUUUAAUAAGCUCCAACUGAUGCUGCACACGGCAUCUCUCGAGCAGGAAUCCAGGUGACAGCACCCCACUGGCCUGCACUUGAAGAGCGUGGAAUUCACCAGGCCCCGUGUGUGUGCACUGGGCUGGCCUUCUGUGGGGACACACCACUGUGACUUUAUGAUGUUUUACAGCCAGUGACGGUCCCAAUGGCCCCCGCAGGAGCCCUGGGAAAUGCCACCUUACAGGAAAGCACGUGGGCAGGGGGCAGAGAGCUGAAGGUGUGCAGGGCACACAGAGCCAUUCGGGGCAGUGGGCGAGGAGAUGUCAGGGCAGCAGCCCUCCCAAGGACUUGAGCUGAGGCCAGACGCGUCUCACACAGACAUCCACACAGGUGUCCCAGAGCCACGAUGGCACGAGGGUCAGUGGGUGCAGGGGACACCGACUGUGUAAUGGGGCGCUCUAGCUCUCUGCGCUGGGCAGUGGGCUCUCCCAGGCUCACUUCCUCCGCUGUGGAAGGGUAAGGGGAGGUUCUACUUGCAGAUGGCAGCAGGGACUACUGCAGUGUGGCUGGAGGGGCCUGCAGCUGGCAGAGGCUCUGGCCCCAGCGCCAGAUUCACCUGCAUGGCCAGCGGCCAUACGCUUGCCGACCCGCGCCAGGGGCCAGGAGCCCUUGGUCUGAGGUCCAGCCCAUCAAUAUCCAGGAGCCUUCCCCACGGGCCAUCGCCUUCUGCGCGGUGACGACAAUGAUCUAUUGAUUUCAAAGCAUGUCACCGGGGUGAAAUGAGGCGUGAAAGGACGUUGUGCCCUGCGCUUCCACACUUCCUGCUCUCGGUGCCAAAAAAACGCGCCCAGGCCCCGCUGGGCAAAAGGAGCAGCCAGGGGCCACCUCCAGCCCAGCCUCGCCGCUUGCUGUCCGUCCUCUGCCAGGGACUCCUGGCUCCACGCCCCGUGCUGUCACCCGCCCAUGAGGAUGAGACCCUCCUUUGUCACUGGGGCGCACUCCCCAGAGGAGCGAGACCCCGCGAGCUCAGACUGCCCCGAUGUGUGCGACCCACCCGGCAGCGGGGGACCGGUGACGCGUCCUCUCCGGAGAGUGGAGCCAACUCAGGGGGCGGGUCCGCACGCACUCGAGGUGGGAGGUGCCUGCUGGGCAUCGCGAGAGCGUCGCAGGCGCGGGGACUGCCUCCCCCUCACACGGGCUGCGUGAGGGCCCGGUGCGGAGUCCCUGCUGCCCAGGGCAGGGCAUCAACGGGCAGUCAGGCCCUCUGCCCUGCUCUCCAGCCCUCUGCGAGGCGGGUACUUCUUAUCUCCUCUCCACACAGCAAGGCUCAGGGGCCGAGGUCCUGGGCCUGGGGGAUUUGGAGGCAGCCAGUGAAUCUGCACGUGUCUCCUCUGGACACUUCCAGCAAGGCCUGUGGCUUCGCGGGAGGGCAUACCGCUCUGAGACGUGAUACUACUCUGACCCCUGCAAGCCAGCAGAGGGGGCAGAUGCAGUUCAGCCUGGAUGCGCAUCCCGAGGUCAGUAGGCCGUGGUUUACACAAACAACCAGACUCCAAGCUGUCCUCCAGCCAUGAUGUAGAGUCACUGACACAGAAGGACAUUUGAGAAUUCACAAAUACGGAGCACUGUCUUACUUUCAUAGAGUAACCCGGAUUCUUACCAUUUUUUUUUUUUUGGUAAAAGUAUGUACACAUAAAUAUAUAAUUGUCUAGAAGAACAUUUUUACGUUGGUGGUGACUGA